AAAAGCCUAUAGAAGACUGUUUAAAAAAAACAUUAGGCAUUACAUCAAUGUAUUCUAAAGCAUGAAUAUAGUAUAUGUAGUAAUAUAUGAUGUGAUAAUACUUAAGCUUUUGAAUACUUGGGACUGUUAUGGUAGAGUAUAACUAAUUCAUAUUUAUAAAAACCUAGUAAGGACUGUUUUAUUAUUAGAAACUGAACUAACUUCGACAAGCAUGCUAGUGUAUAUGGUAUUAAGUUUUAAUGAUGAUUUAUAGUUUGUUUAAGGGCUUAAAGGUCCCUUGAGUCCUAUGUUGGGACUAUUUGUGAAUAAAUG
rnacentral:lncRNA from 1 species